rnacentral:tRNA from 1 species
CUGGAUCUGGCCGCCGGUGCUGGGCUGCUGGCUGCUGGCCAGCAGGUUGCUGCCCGUCGCGUUCGAGCUGCCGGACCCGCC